rnacentral:rRNA from 1 species
GGGUGGUAAUGCCGGAUGCUCCACAUGAUCGCAUGUGAUUGUGGGAAAGAUUCUAUCGGCGUGGGAUGGGGUCGCGUCCUAUCAGCUUGUUGGUGAGGUAACGGCUCACCAAGGCUUCGACGGGUAGCCGGCCUGAGAGGGCGACCGGCCACAUUGGGACUGAGAUACGGCCCAGACUCCUACGGGAGGCAGCAGUGGGGAAUAUUGCACAAUGGGCGCAAGCCUGAUGCAGCGACGCCGCGUGAGGGAUGGAGGCCUUCGGGUUGUAAACCUCUUUUGUUUGGGAGCAAGCCUUCGGGUGAGUGUACCUUUCGAAUAAGCGCCGGCUAACUACGUGCCAGCAGCCGCGGUAAU